rnacentral:lncRNA from 1 species
UAUCAGACAGGUUAACUUGUAGCCAAAUAUAAAGAUUCAGUUUCUUUAAAUUUAGUAUAUAUUAUCUGUGAUACAAACACACUGCAUGCAUAGCUUUCACCGGGAUCACUCUAUAUCACUCCCACAGGACUUGUGGGACAGGAGAAACCAACAUGAAUAUGAAGUGCAUGCUGCUUGCUGGACUAGAGAAAAGGACACAUAGAGACACAGAGAAGGAGACUAUGUGAAGAUGGAGGAAGAGACUAAAGUGAUCCAGCUACAAACCAAGGUGAUCACCUCAAAUUUACUGCCACUAACAACAUUCCACUGAAGAACUAAAAUGCAUGGAGGACUCCUGAAAUGUCUGCAUUCCAACUCGAGGGUGCCAUGUGACUAUGUUUGAUCACUGGAAUACGGACCAAAUUGAUCUACUCUACUUCUAGGUCUAGCUCGUCUUUGAUACUAGUAUCCACGGAAAUCUUGAAGACACUUGGUGAAGAUGGUAGAAAGUCCAUUGUCCUCCGUUACAAAUAAAGCUCUCUUGUGUUUACCCACUGAAAUUUAGAGGUUUACUGAUUAUAGCAGCUAUCAUUACCUUCUAUGUUCCCUAAUCCAUACAAUGGACAAUGAAAGUCAACCGUAGACUGAAUUCUGCAAAAUGUAAAAAAUUUAUUAGCAAGAAAGUACAUAAGCAGCUAUACCACUUGAUCUUAUAAGAUGACCUUAGCCCUUUUGAUAAAAACCUUGAAUAAAAGGUUGACUAGAAGCAGAUAAAACAAUACUCUCAUGGCAGAAUCAGCUAACAGUGCAGUUGAGUCUCCUCAAGCCUUCAAGUUUGUCCCUCCAAAUUUGGUGCUUUCUUUAUCCCCUAGCAGUUACCCCUUCUCAUGCAUCUGAAUUCUUAGCCUUUUGGACAGGAAUGCGAUCCACACAUAUACCCCAUAGAAUUGUACAUCAUCUUCCCACCUCUCCAAUUUUCCUCUGUAAUGGAAUUUUAAACUCUCUAGUCAGCUGUUCCCUCAGUUUUCUGUUGUCAUUAAAUAGAUGAUAUAUGUGGAUUUAUAUAUAUUUUCUGGC